GUCGAGCUUCGCGGGUGCAGUCGCGGCGAGUCGGUAGCGCUCGUCGUCGGCGGAUGCCGCGUAGGCGAGCCGCUCCGACUGCGGCAGGUCGAUGC
rnacentral:tRNA from 1 species